GUUAGCGGCGGACGGGUGAGUAACACGUGGGUAACCUGCCCAUAAGACUGGGAUAACUCCGGGAAACCGGGGCUAAUACCGGAUAACAUUUUGAACCGCAUGGUUCGAAAUUGAAAGGCGGCUUCGGCUGUCACUUAUGGAUGGACCCGCGUCGCAUUAGCUAGUUGGUGAGGUAACGGCUCACCAAGGCAACGAUGCGUAGCCGACCUGAGAGGGUGAUCGGCCACACUGGGACUGAGACACGGCCCAGACUCCUACGGGAGGCAGCAGUAGGGAAUCUUCCGCAAUGGACGAAAGUCUGACGGAGCAACGCCGCGUGAGUGAUGAAGGCUUUCGGGUCGUAAAACUCUGUUGUUAGGGAAGAACAAGUGCUAGUUGAAUAAGCUGGCACCUUGACG
rnacentral:rRNA from 1 species